rnacentral:rRNA from 1 species
AGAUUGAACGCUGGCGGCAUGCCUAACACAUGCAAGUCGAACGGGAGUAGCAAUACUCUAGUGGCGGACGGGUGAGGAAUACGUAGGAAUUUGCCCUUAAGUGGGGGAUAACCCGGGGAAACCCGGAUUAAUACCGCAUGACCUCGAAAGAGCAAAGUGGGGGAUCGCAAGACCUCACGCUUUUGGAGAAGCCUACGUCGGAUUAGCUAGUUGGUGAGGUAAUGGCUCACCAAGGCGACGAUCCGUAACUGGUCUGAGAGGAUGAUCAGUCACACCGGAACUGAGACACGGUCCGACUCCACGGGAG